GCGUGCAGUAAGCUGGGAGGAAAUGACGGCCGGUGACAGAACUAGUUGCGACUGCUUUUGUUAACACAUAUGCAAGGGUAUGGGCCACCCGAUUUGCCCUAUCAGAGUGCAGGCCCCGGCACCGGCGGGAGUCCCACUGCCAUUGAUAGGGAAUGUGGGGCCCAGUGGAACCCCCUGAUGGUGGCCCUGUUUCCUAUGAACUACAUUUGGUCACAUGACUGAAUUUCAGUCGGUUAUUGUAGAGGUACCACCGCUAUGGCUGUCUGAAAGACAGUAACUAGAAGUGUGUUCAAUGUAGAUAUUGCCAUUUCUACAAAACUAUACUACUAAUGUUUUACAUUGCAGGGUUAAAAUUACAGUGCCACCCAAUUCUUUUGUCCCUUCACAACACAUGAAAGAGACAGGACUAAAA